rnacentral:rRNA from 1 species
UACUAGAGUAGCACUCGCAUAUCAAUAAGCGGAGGAAAAGAAACUAACAAGGAUUCCCCUAGUAACGGCGAGUGAAGCGGGAAGAGCUCAAAUUUGAAAUCUUAAAGGGUUUCCCUUUACGAAUUGUAGUUUAAAGAAGUGUUUUCUGUUGAGGUUUUGGUAAAAGUUCUUUGGAAUAGGACAUCAUAGAGGGUGAGAAUCCCGUAUUUGACCUUUACUUUCAACUUUGUGAUACACUUUCAAAGAGUCGGAUUGUUUGGGAAUGCAGUCCAAAAUGGGUGGUAAAUUUCAUCUAAAGCUAAAUAUUGGCGAGAGACCGAUAGCGAACAAGUACCGUGAGGGAAAGAUGAAAAGAACUUUGAAAAGAGAGUUAAACAGUACGUGAAAUUGUCAAAAGGGAAGCGUUUGACACCAGUGUUGUUUUUCUGAAAAUCAAUUAAAGAACUGUUUAUGCUAAGUUGCUUAGACUUUAUCAGCUAACUGUUUAGUUUUGAGCUUUUCUUUAAUGCACUUUUCAGUUAACAAGUCAACAUCAAUUUCUUUUGCUGUAAAAAAGCUUGAGGAAGGUGGCUUGAGAUUCGUCUUAAGUGUUUAUAGCCUCUUGCCUAUGCAGUCGGAGAGAUUGAGGUCUGCAGCGUAGAUCCUUCGGGGCUAAAUGCAUUUGUGCUAAGUUAUAGCAUUUUAUAGACAACUUGUUGACUAUGAUUUGUCUUGUAGCUUACUCGCUUAUGUUAUUUUACCUACGCUUAGGAUGUUGAUCUCUCACAGUCGAGC